rnacentral:rRNA from 1 species
CCUACGGGACGCAGCAGUGAGGAAUAUUGGUCAAUGGGCUUACGCCUGAACCAGCCAAGUCGCGUGAGGGAAGACUGCCCUAUGGGUUGUAAACCUCUUUUGUCAGGGAGCAACGCCGGCUACGUGUAGCCGGACUGAGAGUACCUGAAGAAAAAGCAUCGGCUAACUCCGUGCCAGCAGCCGCGGUAAUACGGAGGAUGCGAGCGUUAUCCGGAUUUAUUGGGUUUAAAGGGUGCGUAGGCGGAAUAUCAAGUCAGCGGUAAAAAUUCGGGGCUCAACCCCGUCGCGCCGUUGAAACUGAUGUU